rnacentral:rRNA from 1 species
UACAGAGGGCUCAAGCGUUGUUCGGAAUCACUGGGCGUAAAGGGUGCGUAGGCGGCUCGGUAAGUCAGAGGUGAAAUCCCGGAGCUCAACUUCGGAAUUGCCUCCGAUACUGCCGUGCUUGAGGACUGGAGAGGAGAUUGGAAUUCACAGUGGAGCAGUGAAAUGCGUAGAUAUUGUGAGGAACACUAGUGGCGAAGGCGAAUCUCUGGACAGUUCCUGACGCUGAGGCACGAAGGCCAGGGGAGCAAACGGG